GGAGGUGUGGCAGAGUGGUCGAAUGCACUGGUCUUGAAAACCAGCGUACCGCAAGGUACCGGGGGUUCGAAUCCCUCCGCCUCCGCAA
rnacentral:tRNA from 1 species